rnacentral:rRNA from 1 species
UACGUAGGGGGCAAGCGUUAUCCGGAAUUACUGGGCGUAAAGCGCACGCAGGCGGUUUGUUAAGUCAGAUGUGAAAUCCCCGAGCUUAACUUGGGAACUGCAUUUGAAACUGGCAAGCUAGAGUCUUGUAGAGGGGGGUAGAAUUCCAGGUGUAGCGGUGAAAUGCGUAGAGAUCUGGAGGAAUACCGGUGGCGAAGGCGGCCCCCUGGACAAAGACUGACGCUCAGGUGCGAAAGCGUGGGGAGCAAACAGG